CAGCCGCUUUGUUCACAGACACCAGCCGCCGCGCCAAUUUGGAGGAAAAUAAAAAGCUGUCGCGAUUAAGAGCGGUUCCGGUUGUUCGUUACUGGUGGUUCUUGUGGUGGCCAACUCCAAGACUAAAUGGUAUCUGAAUCGACACCGGAUGCUUACAGUGUCAGCCGAGCGUCUCGGAAAAAAGGUUCUGUUCCGAUGGAAGGAUUUUGGAGGAAACCGGCUUCAGAGUUGACGAAAUAGGAACUAACUUUGGAUAUGGCGAUGACUUUCGAGGAGGUGAGGUGAAAAGGAGAAGCGGUUCGAUUUUUGAGCUCACAAACCGAAGGAAAAUCGCUCCAAACUGUAGAUAAAUCCAAAGCCUAGAAUCAUCUACUGAGCAUAACGAUGGAAUGACUGAUGAUAGUGAUAAAUUCUCAGCGGAAAAAAUCGUAAAAAUCAUUGCAAAAAAUAGUACCGACCUGUAUGUUGUGAUUUUACGAAUCUCAAUUCAGAGAUUCACUUAAACAUGUCUGUCACUCACAAGAAUAGAUCAAUGACUGACUUUGUUUUGUUUGUUUACCUAGUGUCGUCUUAUUCCACCAGAAGGCCAAACCAAAACAAUCAGCAGCAGCAGCCUUAAAUAUCUUCGCUUCUUAAAGCCAAUCCGUCUUAUUCCACCGGAAGGCCAAACCAAAACAAUCAGCAGCAGCAGCCUUAAAUAUCUGCGCUUCUUAAAGCCAAUCCGUCUUAUUCCACCGGAAGGCCAAAUCAAAACAAUCAGCAGCAGCAGCUUUGAAUAUCUGCGUUUCUUAAAGCCAAUUCCGUCUUAUUCCACCGGAAGGCCAAACCAAAACA